rnacentral:rRNA from 1 species
AGAAUCAACGCUGGCGGCGUGCCUAACACAUGCAAGUCGAUCGAGAAAGUGGAGCAAUCCAUGAGUAAAGAGGCGCACGGGUGAGUAACACGUGACUAACCUACCCUCGAGUGGGGAAUAAACCUGGGGAAACCCGGGCUAAUACCGCAUAAUACCCACGGGUCAAAGGAGCAAUUCGCUUGAGGAGGGGGUCGCGGCAGAUUAGUUAGUUGGCGGGGUAAUGGCCCACCAAGACGAUGAUCUGUAUCCGGCCUGAGAGGGCGCACGGACACACUGGAACUGAAACACGGUCCAGACUCCUACGGGAGGCAGCAGUGGGAAUUUUGCGCAAUGGGGGAAACCCUGACGCAGCAACGCCGCGUGGAGGAUGAAGUCCCUUGGGACGUAAACUCCUUUCGACCGGGACGAUAAUGACGGUACCGGAUGAAGAAGCCCCGGCUAACUUCGUGCCAGCAGCCGC